rnacentral:rRNA from 1 species
UUACAAGUGACCCCGGUCUUACCACCGGGAUGUUCAUAACCCUUUGUUGUCCGACUCUGUUGCCUCCGGGGCGACCCUGCCUUCGGGCGGGGGCUCCGGGUGGACACUUCAAACUCUUGCGUAACUUUGCAGUCUGAGUAAACUUAAUUAAUAAAUUAAAACUUUUAACAACGGAUCUCUUGGUUCUGGCAUCGAUGAAGAACGCAGCGAAAUGCGAUAAGUAAUGUGAAUUGCAGAAUUCAGUGAAUCAUCGAAUCUUUGAACGCACAUUGCGCCCCCUGGUAUUCCGGGGGGCAUGCCUGUUCGAGCGUCAUUUCACCACUCAAGCCUCGCUUGGUAUUGGGCAACGCGGUCCGCCGCGUGCCUCAAAUCGACCGGCUGGGUCUUCUGUCCCCUAAGCGUUGUGGAAACUAUUCGCUAAAGGGUGUUCGGGAGGCUACGCCGUAAAACAACCCCAUUUCUAAGGUUGACCUCGGAUCAGGUAGGGAUACCCGCUGAACUUAAGCAUAUCAAUAAGCGGAGGAAAAGAAACCAACAGGGAUUGCUCUAGUAACGGCGAGUGAAGCAGCAAUAGCUCAAAUUUGAAAUCUGGCGUCUUCGACGUCCGAGUUGUAAUUUGUAGAGGAUGCUUCUGAGUAACCACCGACCUAAGUUCCUUGGAACAGGACGUCAUAGAGGGUGAGAAUCCCGUAUGCGGUCGGAAAGGUGCUCUAUACGUAGCUCCUUCGACGAGUCGAGUUGUUUGGGAAUGCAGCUCU